AGUGAACGCUGGCGGUAGGCCUAACACAUGCAAGUCGAACGGCAGCACAGUAAGAGCUUGCUCUUAUGGGUGGCGAGUGGCGGACGGGUGAGGAAUACAUCGUAAUCUACUUUUUCGUGGGGGAUAACGUAGGGAAACUUACGCUAAUACCGCAUACGACCUACGGGUGAAAGCAGGGGAUCUUCGGACCUUGCGCGAUUGAAUGAGCCGAUGUCGGAUUAGCUAGUUGGCGGGGUAAUGGCCCACCAAGGGGACGAUCCGUAGCUGGUCUGAGAGGAUGAUCAGCCACACUGGAGCUGAGACACGGUCCAGACUCCUACGGGAGGCAGCAGUGGGGAAUAUUGGGCAAUGGGCGCAAGCCUGAUCCAGCCAUACCGCGUGGGUGAAGAAGGCCUUCGGGUUGUAAAGCCCUUUUGUUGGGAAAGAAAAGCAGCAGGUUAAUACCCCGCUGUUCUGACGGUACCCAAUGAAUAAGCACCGGCUAACUUCGUG
rnacentral:rRNA from 1 species